GCUGAGCAGGGCGGCUGCCGCGGCGGGCCGGCGGGACCAGGGCGGGCAUCAUGGGCCGCCUGCACUGCACACAGGACCCCGUGCCUCAGGCCGAGGGCUGCGACAAGCAGCAGCUGAACCAGCUGGCCGCGCAGCAGUUCCUCAGCCCUGACAGAAGUGCUUUUCCACUUCCUAACUGAGCCAAAAGAGGUAGAAAGGUUUCUGGCUCAGCUCUCUGAAUUUGCCACCACCAAUCAGAUCAGUCUUGGUCCCCUCAGAAGCAUUGUGAAAAGCCUCCUCCUGCUUCCAAAUGGUGCACUGAAGAAGAGUCUUACAGCUGAGCAGGUCCAGGCUGAUUUUAUAACUCUGGGUCUUAGUAAGGAAAAAGCCACUUACUUUUCUGAAAAGUGGAAGCAGAAUGCCCCCACCCUUGCCCGAUGGGCCAUAGGUCAGACUCUGAUGAUUAACCAGCUCAUAGAUAUGCAGUCGAAAUUUGGAGUGACAUCUGGGAGCAGCGAAUUGGAGAAAGUGGGAAGUAUAUUUUUACAAUUAAAUUUGGUGGUUAAGAAAGGAAAUCAAACUGAAAAUUUAUAUAUAGAAUUAACCUUGCCUCAGUUCUACAGCUUCCUGCACGAGAUGGAGCGAGUCAGAACCAGCAUGGAGUGUUUCAGCUGAUUUCUGUCCCCUGCAUCUCCCCCAGACCCUCUUCCCCACCCUCCUUCCUUCCCUGGGUGACCGCUCCGAGAGGCACCUUACUCACAGGCCUCUGG